CGGCGACCGGCGCACGGGUGAGUAACGCGUAUCCAACCUUCCAUACACUCAGGGAUAGCCUUUCGAAAGAAAGAUUAAUACCUGAUGGUAUGAUGAGAUUGCAUGAUAGCAUCAUUAAAGAUUUAUCGGUGUACGAUGGGGAUGCGUUCCAUUAGGUAGUAGGCGGGGUAACGGCCCACCUAGCCAACGAUGGAUAGGGGUUCUGGGAGGAAGGUCCCCCACAUUGGAACUGAGACACGGUCCAAACUCCUACGGGAGGCAGCAGUGAGGAAUAUUGGUCAAUGGACGAGAGUCUGAACCAGCCAAGUAGCGUGAAGGAUGAAGGUCCUACGGAUUGUAAACUUCUUUUAUAAGGGAAUAAACCCUCCCACGUGUGGGAGCUUGUAUGUACCUUAUGAAUAAGCAUCGGCUAACUCCGUGCCAGCAGCCGCGGUAAUACGGAGGAUGCGAGCGUUAUCCGGAUUUAUUGGGUUUAAAGGGAGCGCAGACGGGUCGUUAAGUCAGCUGUGAAAGUUUGGGGCUCAACCUUAAAAUUGCAGUUGAUACUGGCGUCCUUGAGUGCGGUUGAGGUGUGCGGAAUUCGUGGUGUAGCGGUGAAAUGCUUAGAUAUCACGAAGAACUCCGAUUGCGAAGGCAGC
rnacentral:rRNA from 1 species